rnacentral:rRNA from 1 species
UACGUAGGGUGCGAGCGUUAAUCGGAAUUACUGGGCGUAAAGCGUGCGCAGGCGGUUUUGUAAGCCAGAUGUGAAAGCCCCGGGCUUAACCUGGGAAUGGCAUUUGGGACUGCAAGGCUCGAGUGCGGCAGAGGAGACUGGAAUUCCUGGUGUAGCAGUGAAAUGCGUAGAUAUCAGGAGGAACACCGAUGGCGAAGGCAGGUCUCUGGGCUGACACUGACGCUCAUGCACGAAAGCGUGGGGAGCGAAACAAACGGUUGUGAAACCGGA